rnacentral:ncRNA from 2 species
UUCAUCGACGCAUUGGAUGGUUCCCGGACCGGCGUUUCGGUUCGGGAGUAAAUGGGAAUGUGGAGGAGUGGACCCAAGCCGGGCGCUCUUAUCGCAGCCGACCCCGCGACUGUAGAACGGUCAGGGUUCGCCAUCCGGGAAAGCCGGUGUUUCGGACUGGCCGCCUGACGCGGCCGCGAAAUUUUCAGGCCCAACCGGAAAAGCCACUGGAGAGCAUCACGAUCAGCCGGGGCCGGACGCCUCUAUCUCUACGAAUCGUCCACCUCUUCGUGAUGCCCGUCGAUUGCGGUCACGCAAUCCGGCGCGAAACCUCCGGGAAGGCGAGGCGAACCCGUUCGCGCCCUUGAAGCGCGUGGCACCGUGAGCCAGGAGACCUGCCAUCCGCAGGGCAUCGUG